GGUUAAGCGACUAAGCGUACACGGUGGAUGCCCUGGCAGUCAGAGGCGAUGAAGGACGUGCUAAUCUGCGAUAAGCGUCGGUAAGGUGAUAUGAACCGUUAUAACCGGCGAUUUCCGAAUGGGGAAACCCAGUGUGAUUCGUCACACUAUCAUUAACUGAAUCCAUAGGUUAAUGAGGCGAACCGGGGGAACUGAAACAUCUAAGUACCCCGAGGAAAAGAAAUCAACCGAGAUUCCCCCAGUAGCGGCGAGCGAACGGGGAGCAGCCCAGAGCCUGAAUCAGUGUGUGUGUUAGUGGAAGCGUCUGGAAAGGCGCGCGAUACAGGGUGACAGCCCCGUACACAAAAAUGCACAUACUGUGAGCUCGAUGAGUAGGGCGGGACACGUGGUAUCCUGUCUGAAUAUGGGGGGACCAUCCUCCAAGGCUAAAUACUCCUGACUGACCGAUAGUGAACCAGUACCGUGAGGGAAAGGCGAAAAGAACCCCGGCGAGGGGAGUGAAAAAGAACCUGAAACCGUGUACGUACAAGCAGUGGGAGCCUCUUUUAUGGGGUGACUGCGUACCUUUUGUAUAAUGGGUCAGCGACUUAUAUUCUGUAGCAAGGUUAACCGAAUAGGGGAGCCGAAGGGAAACCGAGUCUUAACCGGGCGUUAAGUUGCAGGGUAUAGACCCGAAACCCGGUGAUCUAGCCAUGGGCAGGUUGAAGGUUGGGUAACACUAACUGGAGGACCGAACCGACUAAUGUUGAAAAAUUAGCGGAUGACUUGUGGCUGGGGGUGAAAGGCCAAUCAAACCGGGAGAUAGCUGGUUCUCCCCGAAAGCUAUUUAGGUAGCGCCUCGUGAAUUCAUCUCCGGGGGUAGAGCACUGUUUCGGCAAGGGGGUCAUCCCGACUUACCAACCCGAUGCAAACUGCGAAUACCGGAGAAUGUUAUCACGGGAGACACACGGCGGGUGCUAACGUCCGUCGUGAAGAGGGAAACAACCCAGACCGCCAGCUAAGGUCCCAAAGUCAUGGUUAAGUGGGAAACGAUGUGGGAAGGCCCAGACAGCCAGGAUGUUGGCUUAGAAGCAGCCAUCAUUUAAAGAAAGCGUAAUAGCUCACUGGUCGAGUCGGCCUGCGCGGAAGAUGUAACGGGGCUAAACCAUGCACCGAAGCUGCGGCAGCGACACUGUGUGUUGUUGGGUAGGGGAGCGUUCUGUAAGCCUGUGAAGGUGUGCUGUGAGGCAUGCUGGAGGUAUCAGAAGUGCGAAUGCUGACAUAAGUAACGAUAAAGCGGGUGAAAAGCCCGCUCGCCGGAAGACCAAGGGUUCCUGUCCAACGUUAAUCGGGGCAGGGUGAGUCGACCCCUAAGGCGAGGCCGAAAGGCGUAGUCGAUGGGAAACAGGUUAAUAUUCCUGUACUUGGUGUUACUGCGAAGGGGGGACGGAGAAGGCUAUGUUGGCCGGGCGACGGUUGUCCCGGUUUAAGCGUGUAGGCUGGUUUUCCAGGCAAAUCCGGAAAAUCAAGGCUGAGGCGUGAUGACGAGGCACUACGGUGCUGAAGCAACAAAUGCCCUGCUUCCAGGAAAAGCCUCUAAGCAUCAGGUAACAUCAAAUCGUACCCCAAACCGACACAGGUGGUCAGGUAGAGAAUACCAAGGCGCUUGAGAGAACUCGGGUGAAGGAACUAGGCAAAAUGGUGCCGUAACUUCGGGAGAAGGCACGCUGAUAUGUAGGUGAAGUCCCUCGCGGAUGGAGCUGAAAUCAGUCGAAGAUACCAGCUGGCUGCAACUGUUUAUUAAAAACACAGCACUGUGCAAACACGAAAGUGGACGUAUACGGUGUGACGCCUGCCCGGUGCCGGAAGGUUAAUUGAUGGGGUCAGCGCAAGCGAAGCUCUUGAUCGAAGCCCCGGUAAACGGCGGCCGUAACUAUAACGGUCCUAAGGUAGCGAAAUUCCUUGUCGGGUAAGUUCCGACCUGCACGAAUGGCGUAAUGAUGGCCAGGCUGUCUCCACCCGAGACUCAGUGAAAUUGAACUCGCUGUGAAGAUGCAGUGUACCCGCGGCAAGACGGAAAGACCCCGUGAACCUUUACUAUAGCUUGACACUGAACAUUGAGCCUUGAUGUGUAGGAUAGGUGGGAGGCUUUGAAGUGUGGACGCCAGUCUGCAUGGAGCCGACCUUGAAAUACCACCCUUUAAUGUUUGAUGUUCUAACGUGGACCCGUGAUCCGGGUUGCGGACAGUGUCUGGUGGGUAGUUUGACUGGGGCGGUCUCCUCCUAAAGAGUAACGGAGGAGCACGAAGGUUGGCUAAUCCUGGUCGGACAUCAGGAGGUUAGUGCAAUGGCAUAAGCCAGCUUGACUGCGAGCGUGACGGCGCGAGCAGGUGCGAAAGCAGGUCAUAGUGAUCCGGUGGUUCUGAAUGGAAGGGCCAUCGCUCAACGGAUAAAAGGUACUCCGGGGAUAACAGGCUGAUACCGCCCAAGAGUUCAUAUCGACGGCGGUGUUUGGCACCUCGAUGUCGGCUCAUCACAUCCUGGGGCUGAAGUAGGUCCCAAGGGUAUGGCUGUUCGCCAUUUAAAGUGGUACGCGAGCUGGGUUUAGAACGUCGUGAGACAGUUCGGUCCCUAUCUGCCGUGGGCGCUGGAGAACUGAGGGGGGCUGCUCCUAGUACGAGAGGACCGGAGUGGACGCAUCACUGGUGUUCGGGUUGUCAUGCCAAUGGCACUGCCCGGUAGCUAAAUGCGGAAGAGAUAAGUGCUGAAAGCAUCUAAGCACGAAACUUGCCCCGAGAUGAGUUCUCCCUGACCCUUUAAGGGUCCUGAAGGAACGUUGAAGACGACGACGUUGAUAGGCCGGGUGUGUAAGCGCAGCGAUGCGUUGAGCUAACCGGUACUAAUGAACCGUGAGGCUUAACCUU
rnacentral:rRNA from 2 species